UACAGAGGGUGCGAGCGUUAAUCGGAAUUACUGGGCGUAAAGCGUGCGUAGACGGUUAUUUAAGUCGGGUGUGAAAGCCCCGGGCUCAACCUGGGAAUUGCAUUCGAGACUGAAUAGCUAGGGUACGGUAGAGGGAAGCGGAAUUUCCGGUGUAGCGGUGAAAUGCGUAGAUAUCAAGUGGAACACCAGUGGCGAAGGCGAGUCCCUGGAAAACUCCUGACACUGAGGCACGAAAGCUAGGGGAGCAAACAGG
rnacentral:rRNA from 1 species